CUCCUUCUAUUUCGCCCGCGAAGAGGCACCGCUAAAGGCCACCGCCCACACCGGCAUUUUUUCGCCAGAUUCAAUCGACUCUCCUAUAUCCCACGACUGCGGCGAUCAGGGCCGGCAGAUUGGGGGUGGCCGCCCGCCGGCCGACCUUGAAUCCACCACACAACCAUCCCCAUGAGCACUCCGCUCUAUCCCCCCUGCUCGCAGCGACCAGCGACGACGGAUUGGGGGAGGUCGCCCGACCGGCCGAGCUCAGAUCCACUACAUCAACCAGCGACAGCAGAUUGGAGGAGGCCUCCCCACCCGUCUCUCUUUCCCCACAGAUUGUAGCGACCAGCGUCGGCUGACGGUAAUUUUCUCAUCCCGCCCUUCUCAUCCCGCAAGCUCUAGACGUAAGGGAUCACCAUGGAAGGGAUUUGGGGGAGAAAAGCACACGCAGUCGUGUACAUCUCUGAAUACAACGACCAUGUGGCAAAUCCCGUAGCUCUGUAAGUUUUACUCGAUUUUUACUCAGUUGUCGUGAGAUUUCCUGUAAUUCAACGACCAUGUGGCUUCCCUGUUUGUGGUUCCGCUACCCCAUAAAUCGUCGUUACCUAGGAUGGUCAAAACUUAAUGUCUGCACUUGUUCUUGAUACAAUAUAUUACCAUAUGGAGUUCACAGUGUAUGUUAUUUAUUUCGAAUUCUUGAUAAAGACUGGGUCUGCACUUGUUGUUGUUCAAAACUGAAUAAAGAUUGAGUCUGCACUUGUUCUUGUUCAAAUCAGAAUAAAGACUGAGUCUGCACUUGUUCGAAACUGAAUAAAGGCCGAGUCUGCACUUGUUCUUGUUUAACUGAAUUCUGGAUGCUCCAUAUUUCCAAGUAAGUUGUUUACUUCGAUCUGUUCUGCAACCCUCAAAAGCAUCGUACAGUAAUGUCUUUGCCAUCUCCAGGACCGUACAUAGAAAAUCAGAGGCCCUGUGCAAAUCAAAAUUUAAGCCCCGACGUUGGAGUAUAGUUUGUUAAUCACUGCAACAGUAUAAUUUUCAUGUAGAAUUCAGCACCAGAUGCACAAAUUUAAGAAAGAACAAAAAACUGGAUGUAAUAGUGUACUUAUAAACACGAGUAGUAAUAAAAGAAUAGGGUGCUGAGAACUCCCACAACCUUCAGAGUAGCAUUGUAGUUGUAGAUCAUGAAAGACUGACGUAAAGCUCCAGUGGGUGAUUGCUAGUGUACAUGACCAUGAUCUGCUAGAGUAAUUUAGAGAGAGAGAUGGAGAGAGAAGUAGGAGGUGGCUUGGGCCUUGGGGUGCGAUAUUUCCAUCAUUGUUUACUCUAAUAAUUAACAUCUUAAUUACCUACAAGGUCGUGAGCCCUCCAAUUUUUGAGGCCCUGCUCAACCGCUCCGGUUGCACCUACUAAAAUACUGCCCUGGCCAUCUCAAAUUACACAAGCAUCAAUUCCAAGUUUGAGUAUUAAGGAACACAUGAACUACUUAAUAGUAGAGCUGCUUGUUUAUAACUAUUUUACACAAUCUAGUCUUUUUUGUCUACUAGCAAUGAAAGCCAAGUUUCAAGAGAUAAGUUAAUGUAAUCAUGUACGUUACAAGUACUCCUCCAAACAAGUUUAAGAAAAUUUUAGUCAUCUAGUGUUGAUAAUGUAGGCUGGCGGAUCCCUCGGCAAUUCAUUAAGUUCACUCUUUGUCAUCUUUUCCAGCUUCAGUUACUAAAAUCAUACCACCAAUUCUGGAGAGUGAUAUGCAUAGCAGGGAAUAUCUUGCGGAGCAGAAAUGCAAGGGUGGGGCAUAUUUGAAGGAAAAUGAUGCAACGAUUGCGGAACACAAGGCUGCGGAGUAGGAGUCUCUUAAAUACAUACAAAGCAUAACUCGUAGCCUUGUAUACCCUAGUGCCCCUAAUGCGCAACUGACACAAAAGGCACGAGGUGCUGAUGAUUGCAGUGACUCAGAGUAUGAACUAGAUGCUGAAGAGGAGGCCCAUGUAGAGGAAGAGGAUUUGGGAGAUGAAGAGGAGGUCGCUCUUGCUAAGUCCAAAGCAAUGGUAUUCAUGCAGACGUACAUCUUAAAUAAUAUGUACAAUGUCGAUUGACUGACUUUAAUAUUGCCUUGCUUGUAUCAUCUGCAUGUAAUUGUGCACUAUAAGUAUCACAAAUAAUUGACUCAAAGAUUGAUUCACAUAUUCUGUCAAGAAGCAUUAUCAAAUAAGCCACCCAACAUUACUCAUGAGAAAUGGACUAGCCUUGUCAAUAAAUGGUCUGAUGAAAGAAACAAGAAAAUAUGUCAAAUGAAUAAGGAAAACCGAGAAGCUGUCAGGCAACACCAAAAGACGGGAUCUAUGUCCUAUGUUUCCUAUUUCAGCAAACUUAAAAAAGACAAGUACAAUAAUCAGGACCCAAGUCCCAUUGAGUUUUUCAAAGACAGCCAUACAAACAGCAAGACUGAUAGCAUGUGCUGAGUCAGGACUUCUAGCUCAUAAUGCGAUGGAAAAGAAAAGGGAAGCACAAUCUGAAGGUGAGCAGCCAGUAUCCGAUACAGCGAUUGUGGCUGAAGUUCUAAAGGAAGAAAGCUCCCAUAGCACCGUCCUUUCUAGCAUGGGGUAUGCAUCAAGAUCCGGGAGGUCAGGGAGCUCUACUUCAUCAUCCUAGAUUCGAUUUCUAGAAGAAAGAAUUGAAUAGAAGGAUAGAGAGGCAAGAGAUGCAAAUGACAGGCAUCGGGAGGAGUUAGCCGCAAGACUUGAAGCACGAGAGAGAGCAUUUCAAGAGAUACAAAAGAAGCAGCAAGAAGAAUUGGAAGCUCUAAAGAAGAGCCAGCAAGAGAAGAAUGAAGCCUGGGCAAAGAAGCAAAAGGAGACAGACAAUCUGCUUGAUUUUUUGAGGGCCAAAGCAACUCUGCAGUCCCAGUCCCAACCAGAUGGUUCAUGAAUACCAUCCUUACAUUGCAAUCAUCAGGAUAACAUAUGUGGUCUUUAGUUAAUAUUUGUUUUCAUCUUGUCUAUUGUCUGUGUUAAACUUGCAUCAGUUUUUUACCGCCAUUUUUGUUUACAGAAUGAUUUGCCUGAGACGAUUUCAUACAUAAUAUGAUUUGUCUUUGAUAUCAA